rnacentral:tRNA from 2 species
GGGCCCUUAGCUCAGUUGGUCAGAGCGGAAGACUCAUAAUCUUCUGGUCGCAGGUUCAAGUCCUGCAGGGCCCA